GUAGUGUGUAUCAGGUGUAACAGCAACUCCAUGUGGACUUGUCCUUUUCCAGUGGAGAUGCUGUUACUUUUGAUGGACACUUA
rnacentral:pre_miRNA from 1 species